rnacentral:rRNA from 1 species
CCUACGGGCGGCAGCAGUGGGGAAUAUUGGACAAUGGGCGAAAGCCUGAUCCAGCCAUGCCGCGUGUGUGAAGAAGGCCUUCGGGUUGUAAAGCACUUUCAGUGGGGAAGAAAGCCUUGGGGCUAAUACCCUCGAGGAAGGACAUCACCCACAGAAGAAGCACCGGCUAACUCCGUGCCAGCAGCCGCGGUAAUACGGAGGGUGCGAGCGUUAAUCGGAAUUACUGGGCGUAAAGCGCGCGUAGGCGGUCUGAUAAGCCGGUUGUGAAAGCCCCGGGCUCAACCUGGGAACGGCAUCCGGAACUGUCAGGCUAGAGUGCAGGAGAGGAAGAUAGAAUUCCCGGUGUAGCGGUGAAAUGCGUAGAGAUCGGGAGGAAUACCAGUGGCGAAGGCGGCCUUCUGGACUGACACUGACGCUGAGGUGCGAAAGCGUGGGUAGCAAACAGGAUUAGAUACCCCAGUAGUC